AGCAGCCGCGGUAAUUCCAGCUCCAAUAGCGUAUAUUAAAGUUGUUGCAGUUAAAAAGCUCGUAGUUGAAUUUCGGGAUCAGUACGCUGGUCAUGCCUUUGGUAUGCACUGGUGUCACUGGUUUCUCCCUUCUGAAGAUCCGUGAUGUCAUUAAUUUGGUGUCGCGGGGAAUCAGGACUGUUACUUUGAAAAAAUUAGAGUGUUUAAAGCAGGCUCACGCUUGAAUACAUUAGCAUGGAAUAAUGAAAUAGGACGUUUGACCCUAUUUUGUUGGUUUCUAGGAUCGACGUAAUGAUUAAUAGGGAUAGUUGGGGGCAUUAGUAUUCAAUUGUCAGAGGUGAAAUUCUUGGAUUUAUUGAAGACUAACUACUGCGAAAGCAUUUGCCAAGGAUGUUUUCAUUAAUCAAGAACGAAAGUUAGGGGAUCGAAGACGAUCAGAUACCGUCGUAGUCUUAAACCAUAAACUAUGCC
rnacentral:rRNA from 1 species